rnacentral:rRNA from 1 species
UACGGAGGGGGCAAGCGUUGUUCGGAAUCAUUGGGCGUAAAGGGCGCGUAGGCGGCCGGCCAAGUCGGGUGUGAAAUCCCUCGGCUCAACCGAGGAACUGCACUCGAUACUGGCUGGCUAGAGUCCGGGAGGGGAUGGUGGAAUUCCCAGUGUAGCGGUGAAAUGCGUAGAUAUUGGGAGGAACACCGGUGGCGAAGGCGGCAUCCUGGACCGGUAUUGACGCUGAGGAGCGAAAGCCAGGGGAGCAAACGGG